UUCCACGCGGAGGGCGCUGGGGAAGCGCCGCCGGGGGCUCUGGGGACCCGCGUGGGGCGCAGUCUAGGCGGAGGCCAGCGCAGAUGCCCAGUCACGAUUCCGUGAGCAUUCGCCCCCACCGACGACGUGAGAUUUCUGCUCUUUGGCGAUUGUCACUGAUUUCACCUGCGUUAAAAAGGCUGUCAGGAGAGUAGGCCCUGGGACUUCCCAAAGAAGGGACCAAGCUGUACUCCCCCUUCUUCUCUGACCUUUUCAUAAGGACCAAGAGUUGGACUGGCAACACAGUGAAAAGGGUGAACCAAAAGUCACCAAUUUACCUGUGAGAAUAAAGGUCCACAUCCAAAGCAAGUGUACAUAAAUUAACUGGUUAUUUAACAUGAAGUCUCUCAGAAUUCUGACGAGAGUAGUUGGACUCAGCUAUGGAGUACUUUUCUUUGCCUUAUGCUGGGGUCCACUGAAAACUGGGAACGUUUUAGUCUCAGAGGAACACAGCUUCAGAUAACAGUUUGAUUGCCAUUUCAUGAAAGACCCUGAGCCAGAGGCACCAAAGUAAGCUACAACCGGAAUUCUGAUCCACAGACACUGGGGGAUAAUAAAGGGCACUGAAUGAGCUGUAAAAGGUCAGAAGAAGCCAUCCUGAAGAAACAGCUAAAUAAGUCAUUAAAUUUCUUUAUAUAUCAUGAA
rnacentral:lncRNA from 1 species